CGUUAAAGCUUCAUUAUUUUUAUCAAAAAUACCAUUAAUUAACUGUAACCCUUCACCUGUACUGAAUGAUCUCAUAAUUGUAUGAGAGCCUAUAUGUUAGAACUAGUAACAAGAAGAAGCCCUUCUCCAAAAUGUAAGCAUGAGCCAAAAUGAACUAUUCAUUGGCAUUUAAAGUUAUAAACCCAUUGUAGCAACUUAACAAGAAAAACCUACAACUGCAAACGUCAACCUUACACCAGCACAUUUCUGGAAAGAUAAAAAGAAUAGGAAGGAACUCGGCAAAUAACUAACCCCGCCUGUUUACCAAAAACAUCGCCUCCUGAUCACCCAUAGGAGGUCCAGCCUGCCCAGUGACUAAGUUAAACGGCCGCGGUACCCUAACCGUGCAAAGGUAGCGCAAUCACUUGUUCUUUAAAUGAGGACUAGUAUGAACGGCAUCACGAGGGUUAUGCUGUCUCCCUACUCUACUCAGUGAAACUGAUCUCCCCGUGAAGAAGCGGGGAUAAAAAUAUAAGACGAGAAGACCCCAUGGAGCUUUAAACUCAGUACCAACUGCCUCAAUAAUAACCUAUUACCCUUGCAGCCAUGGAUACUAGUUUUCGGUUGGGGUGACCACGGAGUAAAAUUUAACCUCCACGAUGAAAGGAGCUAAUAUCCUAACCUAUGAGCUACAGCUCUAAGUAUCAACAAAUUGACUAAUUGACCCAAUUACUUGAUCAACGAACCAAGUUACCCUGGGGAUAACAGCGCAAUCCAUUUCAAGAGCUCAUAUCGACAAAUGGGUUUACGACCUCGAUGUUGGAUCAGGGUAUCCCAGUGGCGCAGCCGCUACUAAUGGUUCGUUUGUUCAACGAUUAAA
rnacentral:rRNA from 1 species